UGGGGAAUUUUGGACAAUGGGGGAAACCCUGAUCCAGCCAUCCCGCGUGUGCGAUGAAGGCCUUCGGGUUGUAAAGCACUUUUGUCAGGAAAGAAACGUCAUGGGUUAAUACCCCGUGAAACUGACGGUACCUGCAGAAUAAGCACCGGCUAACUACGUGCCAGCAGCCGCGGUAAUACGUAGGGUGCAAGCGUUAAUCGGAAUUACUGGGCGUAAAGCGUGCGCAGGCGGUUGGGAAAGACAGAUGUGAAAUCCCAGAGCUUAACUUUGGAACUGCAUUUUUAACUACCGGGCUAGAGUGUGUCAGAGGGAGGUGGAAUUCCGCGUGUAGCAGUGAAAUGCGUAGAUAUGCGGAGGAACACCGAUGGCGAAGGCAGGCUCCUGGGAUAACACUGACGCUCAUGCACGAAAGCGUGGGGAGCAAACAGG
rnacentral:rRNA from 1 species